UUGCGUCGCAGUAUCGACAUCGUUACGAUGUACAAAAUUUAAAAAUAAAUAAACUCCGGACAAAGCAAUAUCAUCCCUACCAGGAACCGUCAACCAUAGUCAAAGUCAACCUUCCCCGUACUUCCCCUACCAGUAUAAAUAAACGAACGCGCUCUCUAGGACGAUCAUUAACUGGUAUCCUUACAGCGAGUAGCAUUGAGCGAGCGACGGAUCAGACGUAUUAUACCAACUCUAUAUAAUGUACGUAGAACAAUUUUUAAAUAUAUCUGACUAUCACGAGUAUUAGCUUAUCUUGUCGGUAAAUAAAUUAACACGUUUGAUACGAACAGCAAGCUGGUCGAAGAAGAAUCCAGGAGGACGAGACGCGACGGAGCUUCCCGUGCGGAAACAAAAAUCACCUAAGUGCGAACUGCCCAACGGAAAGCAAAGUUGCCAGGAGUACGGACACAUCGCAUCGCAAUUUAACAAUUGCGUCAAGAGGAUAAUUACCACCCGGAGUGCUCGAUGGGUCCACUCUAAAGCAAAACAUCAGUACCAGGUGAGAUACACUCACGACGGUGGUAUAGUUACAAGACUGGAUAGAAAUAGAUUCCCUCCUCAAAGGAAACGGACAGAAGAACACCCCCUGGACGGAGAGCUAGAAUAUAUGUAAGGACCAGGCGCUUCAAGAGACGAGUAUUCGUCUUCAUCACAUAGUCGUAUCUUUGAGCGGAAAUUUCGAAGAUGAACGGACGUCCUCGACGAUACCAGUAAGCAACGAAGUCCAUCAGUGACGAAAAUUUACGCCACGCUUGACAAUAGCCUGCAGUAUGCAAAUCCACAGAGAUCGUGGUUGAAUGUUGAAAAAUCCUGAGGUUCUCCAUCGUAGAAGCAAACUGAAGAAAUCCGAGAACCUUGGCGUCUCCGUAGAAAAGAAAAGAGCUAUUGAACCUUUCUACGUGAUUUCGAAGAUGGACGUAAAUGGAGUGGCAGCCAAAUCGAAGCAGUAUCGAAUCGGUGACGGGAUCAUAGACUGCGUGGUAUGUCGAUCGUCGCAGCUAGGCACGCGUAAAAACAUGUUCGGGAACCAUAGAAUUGCAGAUAGCCGAAGAACCGACUUUAGCUUUCGGUGCAGAGCUAGGUGACGCGUGGAGGAAAACUACUGAUGGGUGUGCCUGGAACACGAGACACGCGGAUUCGUUUAUUGCAAUUUUCGUUAACGAAGUGAGGACAACGAUCAUUGCUGCUAAUUGAAAAAACUGGUGGAUAAGCAUGGGACGGGACACUUAGCCCGUGUUUUACCGUGACAAGCAAUAAGGAGCGUAAGUAAAAAUCUCAAUCUGAGGACAGCAAUAGAUAAUUGCGAAUCCGAGUAUGUUUGAAAAUUUGUUGACCAUCUUGACCAAAGGAUGGAUGAGGAUAUAUUCUGGGGUCACAGCUCGUAACAAUAACUAUUUCCUAAACUUUGGUACUUAUGAAGUUUCACAGCCAUAUAUAUCAUAGUUUGUCUAUUGUAUCACAGUGAUGGCGAUGAGCUAUUUGUUGUUGAGCGGCACAUCUCUACCCGAUUUUGACCGCUGACGGCUUCUUUGUUUUGAUCGGUAUUAGGUUUUCCCCUCGUGCCCCGGACGUGGCCCAUCAGUUGGAAUUCAGUAAAGUAGGAAAAUUACGUCUAGGACUUGACUAUGGAUGUAGAAACACAUCGCCACCGUAGUCAUAUGCUGCUUUAAUCCUAUAAUCCAUACUUAAGGUUACAAGUGUGGGCUCUAUGAUAUAUUGCUUGGAAUUUCGUUAAAACAUUAAAACCCUUGUCGUCUGUUCAAACAAAAGCGUUAUACAGACAUAGAAAUUCGCUGAUGUGACUGGAUUGAAACUUGUUUCAUAUUGAAGCUUACUACAUAAUUUUACUUUUUUUUAUUACAAAGUAAAACACAAAGCAUGAUAUACGAUGUUCGAGGAUUGAAACGCUGUCGUAGAAAUCUGCCCCUUCUAAUCUUUCCUGCUUGGUAACCACGUCACCAAUAAAGUCAAAAUUCGAUUUUACAAGAUAUCAGAAUAUGGAUAUUAUAAAAUGACUUUCUCUUCUAGUUUUCGUCAUUACGCAAUAGCUGUAUCAACAAGUACAUACAUAUUAUUAAUUUCACUUUUUUCCUCUGUAUCAUGCUCAGUGUUUAACCGUGCUCUUUAGAGUCAUUUCCGACCCAAUCUUAUUUUUAUCGGGGUGCCGAUCCCACAUCAGCGUUAUUUCGCGGACAUCGAUGUUCCGCUCACAGUUGGUUAGUACUCCGAUCCGAGGUUCGGAUUGGGUUAGUGAAAGUUAGGCUUAUGAUAGUGUUAGUAGUUGUUAGUUAAUUAGUUAAAUAUAGGACAUACUUAUAAUCUAACUUAUAUCUAUCUUUGGUAUGUCACACACUUGUUGUGGAGUAUUAAACUCUACACAACAUCCAGUGCCUUAAAUACUAUAUUUCACAGUCUUGAUGAGCAUUUAUUUGGCGGCACAUCUCUGACCGACGACCUUCAACGCUGACGGCUCCUUUGUUUUGGUCUGGCUUAUCUGGUCUUCCCCUCUAACCCGGAAGAGGCCGAUCAGUAAUUAUCGUGUAAACUAGGAAAAUUACGACUAGGAUUUGAACACGGGACCUUUGGGUUUGUAGCCUUAUACUAUAUCCACAUCGCUUUUUUUUUUUAAUAGUGUUUAUUUAUGCCAAGAUUUGUUUUUUUUUUAAUACAUUGUAGAAUUCAUAUAAACAUUGAAUUAGAAUAAGGCGUGUUAGGCAAAGGUACCGAUACGCGACGGUACGACGUAACCAUAUUGAGUGUCGUGAUUUUUACAAUUUUUUGAGUUUUCGUUCUUGUGUUGGUUUUUUAGAAUUUCAGCCGCUGGGGAGCGGAGCUUUUGUAUGUUCUUGUUUAUGUUGUUAUUUUUCUUCUGAAACUUGGUCGCAAAACAGGACGCUUCGGUAGUCUACUUUUAUUGUGUAUAUUCACAUCGUCAUCGUAGUCAUAUGAUAUUAUUAUUUUAGAACUCAUACUUAAGGAUACAAGUGUCGACCCUACGUUGCUUGGAAUUACGAUGAACAUUAAAACUCUUGUUGUCCGUUGAGAGCGUGGUUUAGAUCAAAAAAUUGGGUUAUUAAAUUACAUUAAAACUUGUUUGAUAUCGAAGCUUCCCCUUACUAUACAAUUUUACUUUCUUUUAUUACAAAGUAAAACACAAAGCAUGAUGUACGAUGUUCGAGGAUUGAAACGCUAUCGUAGAAAUCUGCCCCUUCCAAUUUUCCCUGCUUGGUAACCACGUCACCAAUAAAGUCAAAAUUCGAUUUUACAAGAUAUCAGAAUAUGGAUAUCAUAAAAUGACUUUCUCUUCUAGUUUUCGUCAUUACGCAAUAGCUGUAUCAACAAGUACAUACAUAUUGUUAAUUUCGCUUUUUUCCUCUGUAUCAUGCCCAGUGUUUAACCGUGCUCUUUAGAGUCAUUUCCGACCUAAUCUUAUUUUUAUCGGGGUGCCGAUCCCACAUCAGCGUUAUUUCGCGGACAUCGAUGUUCCGCUCACAGUUGGUUAGUACUCCGA